rnacentral:rRNA from 1 species
UGGGGAAUAUUGCACAAUGGGCGCAAGCCUGAUGCAGCCAUGCCGCGUGUGUGCAGAAGGCCUUCGGGUUGUAAAGCACUUUCAGCGGGGAGGAAGGCGAUAAGGUUAAUAACCUUGUCGAUUGACGUUACCCGCAGAAGAAGCACCGGCUAACUCCGUGCCAGCAGCCGCGGUAAUACGGCGGGUGCAAGCGUUAAUCGGAAUUACUGGGCGUAAAGCGCACGCAGGCGGUCUGUCAAGUCGGACGUGAAAUCCCCGGGCUUAACCUGGGAACUGCAUUCGAAACUAGCAGGCUAGAGUCUUGUAGAGGGGGGUAGAAGUCCAGGUGUAGCGGUGAAAUACGUCGAGAUCUAGAGGAAUACCGGUCGCGAAGACGGCCCCCUGGACAAAGACUGACGCUCAGGUGCGAAAGCGUGGGGAGCAAACAGU